GCAAACUUGGUCAUUUAGAGGAAGUAAAAGUCGUAACAAGGUUUCCGUAGGUGAACCUGCGGAAGGAUCAUUACAAAUCUUUGUGGGGGGAGAGAGAUGGUGGGAAGAGGAGGAGGGAGAGAGAAAGAGGGGGAGAAAUUGCAUUAUCAUAUAACAAUAUGAUGAUACUAGUUCUCUUUCUCUUCUCCUCCUUACUUCCUCCCCCUUCUCUAUAACGUCCCAACUUUUACGCUUGCUGUGUUUGACAGAGUAAUAUUGUGACUAUAAAAUGAGACAACUUUUAACAAUGGAUCUCUUGGCUCUUGCAUCGAUGAAGAACGCAGC
rnacentral:misc_RNA from 1 species